ACUUAAAUUGAAGAGUUUGAUCAUGGCUCAGAUUGAACGCUGGCGGCAGGCCUAACACAUGCAAGUCGAACGGUAACAGGAAGCAGCUUGCUGCUUCGCUGACGAGUGGCGGACGGGUGAGUAAUGUCUGGGAAACUGCCCGAUGGAGGGGGAUAACUACUGGAAACGGUAGCUAAUACCGCAUAAUGUCGAAAGACCAAAGAGGGGGACCUUCGGGCCUCUUGCC
rnacentral:rRNA from 1 species